rnacentral:misc_RNA from 1 species
GGCGCAGAUCAAUGUGCUUGAGGCCGGCGAGUUGCCUGCGGGUCUUUUCACGGCGUUGACCGCGGUAGAUGGGUGGCGAUCCGCCCCCUUUUCUUUUAAACGCCUUUUUUGAAAGUUUUCUUUCUAUUUGCCUUUUGGAACUGUGUCUGCUGCUCUUCGAGAACCGGUUGUUUUAUUAAUCGCAAGAGUGCGACACGCUGCUGGUGCCCACUGCCCUGAUUUCUGCCUACAAUUGAUGGCAAGAAUCACUGCAACUAAAGAUGAAGCAUGCAAUGGUACCAGCCGGCAGGAGGAUGCGGCUGGAGAUAUUCUGAAUGAAAAGGGCACCACAAAUCCCAGCAAUGGGCUUGACCCGGCUACAAUGAAGGCGGACGGCCCGGAGAAGGAGCAGGUAAACGGCGCGGAGAAGGAGAGGGACGGGAUGGAAAGGGAGAGGGACGGAGCGGAAAAGGAGAGGGACGGAGUGGAAAAGGCCGAGCUCGAGGACACCAAGGAGAGCGAGAAGCAGGGAGGAGACGCGGAGAAGGACACGGACAAGGACGGCAAGAAGGACGACAAAGACCAGGAGGUGGUCUUCAUUCAGGAUGUCGGCUUCACAGUCAAGAUGUACGCUCCGGGCCUGGAGCCGUUCGACAUCCAGGUUUCGAGUAUGGAGCUGGUCCAGGAGAUCCACCAGCUGCUCAUGGACCGCGAGGACACCUGCCACCGCACCUGCUUCUCCCUCCAGCUCGACGGCAACACGCUCGACAACUUCGCCGAGCUGAAGACCAUCGAGGGUCUCAAGGAUGGCUCUAUCAUCAGGGUGGUGGAGGAGCCGUACACGGUGCGCGAGGCGCGAAUCCACGUGCGCCACGUACGUGACCUGCUCAAGUCGAUGGACCCGGCAGACGCGUUCAAUGGAGUGGACUGCGCCUCACUGGCCUUCCUUAACACGGUCACCAACGGAGAUAUCCUGGCAGAGAAGAAGAAGGCCCGCCCGGAAUCGGUGGACUGCACGCCACCCGACUACAUCAUGCCCGGCUGCCGGGAGCGGCCGCUGCUGCCCCUCCAGCCGCACGUCAAGGAGCAGACCGGACCGCAGUGCCUCAAGGUGCUGACGACGUCCGGCUGGAACCCUCCGCCGGGCCCGCGGCGCAUGCGCGGUGACCUGCUGUACCUGUACGCGGUGACGAUGGAGGACAAGCGGUACCACAUCACCGCCUCCACCCGCGGCUUCUUCGUCAACCAGUCGACGGACGAGGAGUUCAGUCCGAAGCCGGCCUCGCCCAACUACCUCUGUCACUCGCUGAUCGACCUGAUCGGUCAGAUAUCGCCCGUGUUCAAACGCAACGUAUCGCAGCUGCAGAAGCGGCGCACGGCGCGCCACCCGUUCGAGCGCGUGGCCACGCCGUACCAGGUGUACACGUGGGCGGCGCCACCGCUGGAACACACCCUGGACGCCAUCCGCGCCGAGGACGCGUUCUCUUCCAAGCUCGGCUAUGAGGAGCACAUCCCCGGUCAGACUCGCGACUGGAACGAGGAGCUACAGACGACGCGCGAGCUGCCCCGCAAGAACCUGCCCGAACGCCUGCUGCGAGAGCGGGCCAUCUUCAAAGUGCACAGCGACUUUGUGUCGGCGGCCACCCGCGGCGCGGUGGCUGUCAUCGACGGCAACGUGAUGGCCAUCAACCCGGGCGAGGACGCCAAGAUGCAGAUGUUCAUCUGGAACAACAUCUUCUUCUCGCUGGGCUUCGACGUGCGCGACCACUACAAGGAGCUGGGCGGCGACGCGGCCGCUUUCGUGGCGCCGCGUAACGACCUACAGGGUGUCAAGGUGUACAGCGCCGUGGACACGGAGCACCUGUACACGCUCGGCACUGUGGUGGUCGACUACCGCGGCUACCGCGUCACUGCCCAGUCCAUCAUCCCGGGUAUACUGGAGAGGGAGCAGGAGCAGAGCGUUGUCUACGGCAGCAUCGACUUCGGCUCGACCGUGGUCAGCAACAGCAAGUACCUCGAGCUGCUGAGUAAGCCGGGCCAGCAGCUGAAGAUCGCCACCCACAAGGUGGUCAACGACAAGGGCGAGGAGGUGGAGCUCUGCUCGUCGGUCGAGUGCAAGGGCAUCAUCGGCAACGAUGGACGCCACUACAUCCUGGACCUGCUGCGCACCUUCCCUCCGGACGUCAACUUCCUGCCGCCGGAGACCACCGGCCUCGAGCUGAGCAAGGAGGCCCGCGCACUCGGCUUUCCCGUCCGACACAAACACAAACUGGCCUGCCUGCGACAGGAGCUCAUCGACGCGUUCGUCGAGAGUCGCUACAUGGCCUUCAUCAAGUUCGCCGCCAGUCAGCUGCAGCAGAUAGGCGAGAAGAAGAAGGCUCAGGAGGCGGCCUCCAAGCCGGCGAUUGGCGAGGCUGCCUCUGCCGAUCCCGCCGCCUCUGCCCCCGACCCUGACACCGCCGCCGCCUCCGCUGAUACCCCUGCCGACGCGGGCGCCACGGACGCCAACAAGCUGCAGACGGACGAGGCCAAGCGUAUCGUGGAGGACAUCACCGACUCUAUCACCGGCGAGAAGAAAGAGAUGGAGGAGAGCUCUGUGGACAUCGUGCGCCGCGCGGCCGCCGCCGUCGGCUCACUGAAGCCGGCAGAGUUCGAGCUGCGCUUCAACCCUGACGCGUUCUCGCCGGGCGUGCGCCACCCGGAGUCGGCGGCAGACGCCCUGCGCGCGCAGCGGGCGCUGGUGCGUGACGCGGCCGACUUCCUACUGACUGUGCAGAUCCCCGGCUUCGUGCGCGACUGCCUGGACCACUCCUCGGCGCCGCUGGACGGCUCCACCCUGGUCGAGGCGCUGCACACGCGCGGCAUCAGCGUGCGCUACCUGGGCACGGUGACCGACAUGCUGGCCAAGGUGCCGAAACUCUCCUACCUGCACCGGAUCGCCGUCGGCGAGCUGCUGACCAGGAGCGUCAAACACCUGUUCACCACCUACAUGCAGGGCGUGGACAUGAUGUGCCUGUCGGCAUCCGUCAGCCACUUCCUCAACGCCUACCUGUCGUCGUGUCAGCAGGCGCACCCGCCGCUGCCGGCCGACGAGCUCAACCCCAAAAACUCCAAACGCAAGAACAAGCGGCGCGCGCGCCGGCCGCUGACGGCUCCGGAGAGCACCGACUGGGCGCUGCUGACGCCGCGCGGCCUCUGGGCCCAGAUCCGUGACGAGCUGCUCAACUACUUCAACUGGCAGCUCGGAGCCGACAGCGUCGACGCCACCGUUGCCAAGUACAAACUGCAGAAAGUGUCUCUGUUCAGGUCGUUCUGCGUGGCCACGGGCGUGCAGCUGCUGCUGCGCGACUACAAUAUGGACGCGCGCAGCCGGCCCUGCUUCUCCGAGGAAGAUGUGCUCAACAUUUUCCCCGUCACCAAGCACAUCAACCCACGCGCCUCGGACGCCUACACGUUCUACACCACCGGCCAGACCAAGAUCCAGCAGGGCUACCUCAAGGAGGGCCACGAGCUCAUCACGGAGGCGCUCAACCUGCUCAACAGCGUCUACGGCGCCAUGCACCCAGAGAUCGCCCAGUGCCUACGGAUGCUGGCGCGACUCAACUACAUCAUGGGCGACCACCAGGAGGCGCUGCAGUACCAGCAGAAGGCCGUGCUGAUGAGCGAGCGCGUCAACGGCAUCGACCACCCCUACACCAUCGCCGAAUACACGCACCUGGCGCUGUACUGCUUCGCCAACGGCCAGGUGACGACGUCACUGAAGCUGCUGUACCGGGCGCGCUACCUGAUGCUACUCGUCUGCGGCGAGGACCACCCCGAGAUGGCACUGCUGGACAGUAACAUCGGUCUGAUCCUGCACGCGGUGGGCGAGUACAGCCUCUCCCUGCAGUUUAUGGAGCACGCGCUCCGGCUGAACCGCGAGUACCACGGCGAGCGCAGCCUCAAACUGGCAGUGGCCCACCACCUGGUGGCCAGGACCCAGAGCUGUCUGGGAGACUUCCGCGCCGCGCUGCAGAACGAAAAGGAGACGUUCGCCAUCUACAAACAGCAGCUGGGUGAGGAGCACGAAAAGACCAAGGAGUCGUCCGAGUGUCUGCGCCACCUCACCCAGCAGGCCGUGGUGCUACAGAAGAAGAUGAACCACAUCUACAGCGGCAAGGCGGGCGCCGCCCUGCCGCCCAUCCAGAUCCAGUCGCCCAGCAUGGGCUCCGUGCUGGACAUGCUCAACAUCAUCAACGGCAUCCUCUUCGUCCAGAUCAGUCAGCAGGACAUUGAGAACUUCAAGGCCGAGUUCGAGAAGCGCACUCAGCAGCUUCAGAGCGUCAAGUCCGGGGCGGGUGGUGGUGCGGCCACUGUAACCGCCAUCGAGGCGCCGGCCGCCGCCGCGCCCGCGCCAUCCUCAUCAUCGCCGCCGCUCUCGUCACCCGAGGGCAGCAGAUGAGGCCGGUCCCGGGCCGCGAGCACUCGGCCGACACCAUCCCGACAGUCUAGUUUUGAUAGAUUAUUUUCGCGGCUGCCGUCGCGGUCAGAGUUAUCAUGCCUCAUCGAUUUGGGCGCCGGCGCAGAGCGAUGCGCGGCGUGAGCGGCUGUGGCCCGCCGCGCUGGCGUCCGAGCACGCUGCGCGCGGGGCUGGUGCAAUGUUUUCUAAGUCACCCGGCCGCGGACUCACGGGCCGGGAGGCUGCCAGUGGCACGGCUCAGGGGGGCCGGGAUGCCCGCAUCAGCUGUGAGAGUGCCAGUGAGAGCGAGUGUGAGAGUGAGCGUGAGAGUCGCAUAGGUCGGACCAUGGUGCUUCCUGAUCCUAAUGGUCGCCCAGCAAUACAAACGAUAAACCGA